UCACAGGAGCCUUCAUACAGCAUGGAGUCCUUGGUGCUGCUCCUCUGCCUGGUGGCGGCUCCCUGCUGUGUCCUGUCCCAGGUGCAGCUGAAGGAGUCAGGACCUGGCCUGGUGAAGCCUUCAGAGACCCUGUCCCUCACCUGCACAGUCUCUGGAUUCUCUUUAACUAGUUAUCAUGUAAGCUGGGUCCGUCAGCCUCCGGGGAAGGGACUGGAGUGGAUCGGUGUGAUAUGGAGUGGUGGAGGUACAGUGUAUAACUCAGCCCUUCAAUCUCGAGUGAGCAUCGCCAGGGACACUUCCAAGAGCUAA